GUGGCCAGCCGCCGCGGUAAUACCGGCAGCCCGAGUGAUGGCCGAUCUUAUUGGGCCUAACGCGUCCGUAGCUGGCUGCGCAAGUCCGUCGGGAAAUCCCCUCGCCCAACGAGUGGGCGUCCGACGGAAACUGCACAGCUUGGGACCGGAAGGCUCGAAGGGUACGUUCGGGGUAGGAGUGAAAGCCCAUAAUCCCGCACGGACCACCGAUGGCGAAAGCACUUCGAGAAAACGGAUCCGACAGUGAGGGACGAAAGCCAGGGCCUCCAACCGGAUUAGAAACCCUAGUAGUCC
rnacentral:rRNA from 1 species